rnacentral:rRNA from 1 species
AUGGCUCACAAUGAAAAUAGAAGAAAAGAAAAGGCGCGCCUGCCAGUUCCAGGCGAGGCCAUGGAUAUUGCUGGCUCCAUUAUCCUUGCUCCGUCUCCCUCACGGCCUGAUUUGAUUUGGAUCGGACAUGACACAAAGACAUAUUCUGCCUGGCUUUGGAACCACGCCUGGACGGUGGGCAAGCAAGAUCGCGUGAGGGGGGCCGUGCAGCGAUACGAUGCACACCAGGUCACCGAUCGCCUUGCAGGUCAGCGUCACAAGGGUAGGCUGUCUAACCCACAUGACACAUCACCGCUAGUAGCUUUUGCCCAUGAAGCAACAAUUUCUUUUGCUCAAGUAAAGUAUCCAUCUGUCAACAUACUUACAUAA